rnacentral:rRNA from 1 species
GGCGGCGUGCCUAAUACAUGCAAGUAGAACGCUGAAGAGAGGAGCUUGCUCUUCUUGGAUGAGUUGCGAACGGGUGAGUAACGCGUAGGUAACCUGCCUUGUAGCGGGGGAUAACUAUUGGAAACGAUAGCUAAUACCGCAUAACAAUGGAUGACACAUGUCAUUUAUUUGAAAGGGGCAAUUGCUCCACUACAAGAUGGACCUGCGUUGUAUUAGCUAGUAGGUGAGGUAAUGGCUCACCUAGGCGACGAUACAUAGCCGACCUGAGAGGGUGAUCGGCCACACUGGGACUGAGACACGGCCCAGACUCCUACGGGAGGCAGCAGUAGGGAAUCUUCGGCAAUGGGGGCAACCCUGACCGAGCAACGCCGCGUGAGUGAAGAAGGUUUUCGGAUCGUAAAGCUCUGUUGUAAGUCAAGAACGGGUGUGAGAGUGGAAAGUUCACACUGUGACGGUAGCUUACCAGAAAGGGACGGCUAACUACGUGCCAGCAGCCGCGGUAAUACGUAGGUCCCGAGCGUUGUCCGGAUUUAUUGGGCGUAAAGCGAGCGCAGGCGGUUUGAUAAGUCUGAAGUUAAAGGCUGUGGCUCAACCAUAGUUCGCUUUGGAAACUGUCAAACUUGAGUGCAGAAGGGGAGAGUGGAAUUCCAUGUGUAGCGGUGAAAUGCGUAGAUAUAUGGAGGAACACCGGUGGCGAAAGCGGCUCUCUGGUCUGUAACUGACGCUGAGGCUCGAAAGCGUGGGGAGCGAACAGGAUUAGAUACCCUGGUAGUCCACGCCGUAAACGAUGAGUGCUAGGUGUUGGAUCCUUUCCGGGAUUCAGUGCCGCAGCUAACGCAUUAAGCACUCCGCCUGGGGAGUACGACCGCAAGGUUGAAACUCAAAGGAAUUGACGGGGGCCCGCACAAGCGGUGGAGCAUGUGGUUUAAUUCGAAGCAACGCGAAGAACCUUACCAGGUCUUGACAUCCCGAUGCUAUUUCUAGAGAUAGAAAGUUACUUCGGUACAUCGGUGACAGGUGGUGCAUGGUUGUCGUCAGCUCGUGUCGUGAGAUGUUGGGUUAAGUCCCGCAACGAGCGCAACCCCUAUUGUUAGUUGCCAUCAUUCAGUUGGGCACUCUAGCGAGACUGCCGGUAAUAAACCGGAGGAAGGUGGGGAUGACGUCAAAUCAUCAUGCCCCUUAUGACCUGGGCUACACACGUGCUACAAUGGUUGGUACAACGAGUUGCGAGUCGGUGACGGCGAGCUAAUCUCUUAAAGCCAAUCUCAGUUCGGAUUGUAGGCUGCAACUCGCCUACAUGAAGUCGGAAUCGCUAGUAAUCGCGGAUCAGCACGCCGCGGUGAAUACGUUCCCGGGCCUUGUACACACCGCCCGUCACACCACGAGAGUUUGUAACACCCGAAGUCGGUGAGGUAACCUUUUGGAGCCAGCCGCCUAAGGUGGGACAGAUGAUUGGGG